CCUACGGGACGCAGCAGUGGGGGAUAUUGCACAAUGGGGGGAACCCUGAUGCAGCGACGCCGCGUGGGUGAGGAAGUAUUUCGGUAUGUAAAGCCCUAUCGGCAGGGAAGAAAUUGGACGGUACCUGACCAAGAAGCCCCGGCUAACUACGUGCCAGCAGCCGCGGUAAUACGUAGGGGGCAAGCGUUAUCCGGAAUUACUGGGUGUAAAGGGAGCGUAGACGGUGAUGCAAGGCUGGAGUGAAA
rnacentral:rRNA from 1 species